CCUCUUCGAUCUGCUGGGGGCAGAUGAAGUGGAUGUGGCUGUCGAAGCCGCCCGCCGUCAGAAUGCGCCCCUCGGCGGCGAUGGCCUCGGUGCCGGGGCCGAUGAUGAUGUCGACGUUCGGCUGGGUGUCGGGGUUGCCGGCCUUGCCGAUGGCGACGAUGCGGCCGUCCUUCAGGCCGACAUCGGCUUUGUAGAUGCCGGUAUGGUCCACGAUCAGCGCGUUGGUAAUCACGGUAUCCACCGCACCCUCGGCGCGGCUGGCCUGCGACUGGCCCAUCCCGUCGCGG
rnacentral:sRNA from 1 species